ensembl:lncRNA
GGCUGCUGUGAAGGUGGGCACCCCAGGCCCUGCUACUGUCACAAGAUUGCACGUGUAGGUGAUAUCACAUAUUUGUCUCUGCCUGGCUUACUUCAGAGCCAGUGCUUUUAGGAACCCAUCAAGCACACAUGGCCACUUUUCUGACUUGGUAAACACAGUCUGCAGGACAAAAUGGAAGUGGUGUGACCAUCUCAUAGUCCUCAUGCUAAAGAUUAUCUGGAUGGGACAAACUGGGUUAAAACUGUACAAACUCAAGAGGCCACCCAAAGUUUCUCUUAAAUAGAUGAACAAACACCAACCAUCCUGGGCUCUCAGAGAAUUUUGUUGAUAGUGACCUCUUUAUGAAAAGACCAGGUGUAAGGUUAUCAGUCCUGAAACCUGAAGCUGGCCACAAAUGGCCUCAUCUCCCUCCUCUCUGGCUCAGGCGAUGGAUUCGCAUGUAAAUUGGGAAGGAC